rnacentral:rRNA from 1 species
AGCAUAUCAAUAAGCGGAGGAAAAGAAACCAACAGGGAUUGCCUCAGUAACGGCGAAGUGAAGCGGCAAGAGCUCAAAUUUGAAAGCUGGCCCCUUCGGGGUCCGCGUUGUAAUUUGCAGAGGAUGCUUCGGGUGCAGCCCCCGUCUAAGUGCCCUGGAACGGGCCGUCAUAGAGGGUGAGAAUCCCGUCUGGGACGGGGUGUCUGCGUCCGUGUGAAGCUCCUUCGACGAGUCGAGUUGUUUGGGAAUGCAGCUCUAAAUGGGUGGUAAAUUUCAUCUAAAGCUAAAUACUGGCCGGAGACCGAUAGCGCACAAGUAGAGUGAUCGAAAGAUGAAAAGCACUUUGAAAAGAGAGUUAAACAGCACGUGAAAUUGUUGAAAGGGAAGCGUUUGCGACCAGACUCGCCCGCGGGGUUCAGCCGGCAUUCGUGCCGGUGUACUUCCCCGUGGGCGGGCCAGCGUCGGUUUGGGCGGCCGGUCAAAGGCCCUCGGAAUGUAUCACCUCUCGGGGUGUCUUAUAGCCGAGGGUGCAAUGCGGCCUGCCUGGACCGAGGAACGCGCUUCGGCUCGGACGCUGGCGUAAUGGUCGUAAAUGACCCGUCUUGAAACACGGACCAAGGAGUCUAACAUCUACGCGAGUGUUCGGGUGUCAAACCCGUACGCGCAGUGAAAGCGAACGGAGGUGGGAGCCCCCUCGCGGGGCGCACCAUCGACCGAUCCUGAUGUCUUCGGAUGGAUUUGAGUACGAGCGUAGCUGUGGGGACCCGAAAGAUGGUGAACUAUGCCUGAAUAGGGCGAAGCCAGAGGAAACUCUGGUGGAGGCUCGCAGCGGUUCUGACGUGCAAAUCGAUCGUCAAAUUUGGGUAUAGGGGCGAAAGACUAAUCGAACCAUCUAGUAGCUGGUUCUGCCGAG